AAAAGCAAGUCACCAUGGCAGCGGUGGUAUCAGAACUUGAACCCAAAUCUGUCAGAUUCUAAGGCCAAUGUUGCAAGGGGGAGGGGAGGGUUUCUGGGGGGACAUGCUUUCCACCAGACCACAUUGUCUCAGGGAAGCCCUGAGAUUAGCUUUAAGAUCUGUCAACUCAGCCAACAAGGCAUAAAAGGAAUGGAAGAAAUCACAAAUGAAAAUCAUUACAGCCUUGAGGACAUAUAAUUGAAAACAUUAUAAGCAAAAUCAAAAGGGGUGAUGCACAUGGAGGGGGUGGGGAGCCUGUUCAGACCCUCGGACCCUGUACCUGUUCGCUCAUGGUGUUGAUCCCAUCGGGCCCCAGCAGAGACACUGCCUGCUUCACCAGGUCUGUUCGUCCACAGUUCAGCAUCCGGAAACCCAGGUCCUGCUUAAACUUGGCUUCGAUGGCCACCGCAUCCAGCUUUCGAGAUGCACAAAAGCAGUCGUCGGCCCUAAGGAAGGGAAGAGACAUCAUGCGGGUACAGCGGCUUCCCAGAGGGGCACAGGGGCAAACUCCGCAGGAAGCACCCUGGGACAUUGCAUUUGCUUUUCAUGUAAAUUGCCUGUUCCUAGGCUCCAAUUAAAAUGAUUGCCUCCGGA